rnacentral:rRNA from 1 species
CACGUAGGGGCCAAGCGUUGUCCGGAUUUAUUGGGCGUAAAGAGCUCGUAGGCGGUUUGUCGCGUCUGCUGUGAAAACUCGGGGCUUAACUCCGGGCCUGCAGUGGGUACGGGCAGACUAGAGUGCGGUAGGGGAGAGCUGGAAUUCCUGGGUGUAGCGGGUGAAAUGCGGCAGAUAAUUCAGGAGGAACACCCGGUGGGCGAAAGGGCGGGGUCUCGUGGGCCGUAACUGACGCUGGAGGAGCGAAAGCGUGGGGAGCGAACAGGA